rnacentral:ribozyme from 11 species
AUGCUCACGGCUCCCACCAAACACAGGGUCCAGCCAAUUUAAUAAGCCAUGAAACAAUCAAUCAAGAUGGAACAACCAAGGGUUUUGUUGCUUGUUGUUCUUGCCUUUGUUUUGCUUGUUGUUUCCUUUUUGUUU